rnacentral:rRNA from 1 species
GACGAAGGGGGCUAGCGUUGUUCGGAAUUACUGGGCGUAAAGCGUGUGUAGGUGGUUGUCAUAGUCAGGUGUGAAAGCCUUGAGCUCAACUCAAGAAAUGCACUUGAUACUGGGCAGCUAGAGGACCGGAGAGGAUAGUGGAAUUCCCAGUGUAGUGGUGAAAUACGUAGAGAUUGGGAAGAAUACCAGUGGCGAAGGCGGCUAUCUGGACGGUUUCUGACACUAAGACACGAAAGCGUGGGGAGCAAACAGG